rnacentral:rRNA from 1 species
GAUGAACGCUGGCGGCGUGCCUAAUACAUGCAAGUCGAGCGAACAGACGAGGAUCUUGCUCCUCUGACGUUAGCGGCGGACGGGUGAGUAACACGUGGAUAACCUACCUAUAAGACUGGGAUAACUUCGGGAAACCGGAGCUAAUACCGGAUAAUAUAUUGAACCGCAUGGUUCAAUAGUGAAAGACGGUUUUGCUGUCACUUAUAGAUGGAUCCGCGCCGCAUUAGCUAGUUGGUAAGGUAACGGCUUACCAAGGCAACGAUGCGUAGCCGACCUGAGAGGGGGAUCGGCCCCACUGGGACUGAGACACGGUCCAGACUCCUAGGGAAGGCAGCAGUAGGGAAUCUUGCGCAAUGGGGGGAAGCCUGACGGAGCAACGCAGCGUGAGUGAUGAAGGUCUUCGGGUCGUAAAACUCUGUUAUUAGGGAAGAACAAAUGUGUAAGUAACUAUGCACGUCUUGACGGUACCUAAUCAGAAAGCAACGGCUAACUACGUG